CCUACGGGUGGCAGCAGUGAGGAAUAUUGCGCAAUGGGCGAAAGCCUGACGCAGCGACGCCGCGUGAGGGAUGAAGGUCUUCGGAUCGUAAACCUCUGUCAGCAGGGAAGAACGGUCACUGUGCUAAUCAGCAGUGAAUUGACGGUACCUGCAAAGGAAGCACCGGCUAACUCCGUGCCAGCAGCCGCGGUAAUACGGAGGGUGCGAGCGGUAAUCGGAAUUACUGGGCGUAAAGCGCUCGUAGGCGGUAUGUCAAGUCAAGGGUGAAAUCCCCGCGCUCAACGUGGGAACUGCAUGUGAAACUGGCAAACUUGAGUGUGUGAGAGGAUAGUGGAAUUCCAGGUGUAGGAGCGAAAUCCGUAGAUAUCAGGAGGAACAUCAGUGGCGAAGGCGACUAGCUGGAACAUAACUGACGCUGAGGAGCGAAAGCGUGGGUAGCAAACAGGAUUAGAUACCCCAGUAGUC
rnacentral:rRNA from 1 species